CCUACGGGGUGCAGCAGUGGGGAAUAUUGGACAAUGGGCGAAAGCCUGAUCCAGCCAUGCCGCGUGUGUGAAGAAGGCCUUCGGGUUGUAAAGCACUUUCAGUGGGGAAGAAAGCCUUGGGGCUAAUACCCUCGAGGAAGGACAUCACCCACAGAAGAAGCACCGGCUAACUCCGUGCCAGCAGCCGCGGUAAUACGGAGGGUGCGAGCGUUAAUCGGAAUUACUGGGCGUAAAGCGCGCGUAGGCGGUCUGAUAAGCCGGUUGUGAAAGCCCCGGGCUCAACCUGGGAACGGCAUCCGGAACUGUCAGGCUAGAGUGCAGGAGAGGAAGGUAGAAUUCCCGGUGUAGCGGUGAAAUGCGUAGAGAUCGGGAGGAAUACCAGUGGCGAAGGCGGCCUUCUGGACUGACACUGACGCUGAGGUGCGAAAGCGUGGGUAGCAAACAGGAUUAGAUACCCUGUAGUC
rnacentral:rRNA from 1 species